rnacentral:rRNA from 1 species
UUCGAUUAAGCCAUGCGAGUCGCGAGUCUUAGGGACUCGGCGUACCGCUCAGUAACACGUGGGUAACCUGCCCUAUGCUGGGGAAUAACCUCGGGAAACUGAGAAUAAUGCCCCAUAGUUCACCACGCCUGGAACGGUGGGUGGAUCAAAGCUCCGGCGGCAUAGGAUGGGCCUGCGGCGUAUCAGGUCGUAGGGGGUGUAAUGUACCCUCUAGCCAUCGACGCGUACGGGUGUUGGGAGACAUUGCCCGGAGAUGGAUUCUGAGACACGAAUCCAGACCCUACGGGGUGCAGCAGGCGCGAAAACUUGGCAAUGCGAGAAAUCGUGACAGGGAACUCCAAGUGCAUCGGGUAAGACCGAUGCUUUUCUUGACUCUUCAACGGUCUUGGAAUAAGGGGUGGGUAAGGACGGUGCCAGCCGCCGCGGUAAUACCGGCGCCUCAAGUGGUAGUCGCUUUUAUUGGGCCUAAAACGUCCGUAGCCGGUUUGGUACAUUCGUGGGUAAAUCAAGGCGCUCAACGUCUUGAAUUCUGCGAGCACGGCCAGACUUGGGACCGGGUGAGGUGUGGGGUACUCUCAGGGUAGGGGUAAAAUCCUGUCAUCCUGAGAGGACCACCUGUUGCGAAGGCGCCACACUAGAACGGAUCCGACGGUCAGGGACGAAGCCUAGGGGCACGAACCGGAUUAGAUACCCGGGUAGUCCUAGGUGUAAACGCUGUGGACUUGAUGUUGGGAGUGCUCCGAGCACCCUCAGUGUCGAAGCGAAGGUGAUAAGUCCACUGCCUGGGGAGUACGGUCGCAAGGCUGAAACUUAAAGGAAUUGGCGGGGGAGCACUGCAACCUGAGGAUUGUGCG